GCAGCCAGCCUGGGAGAGGACAGUAACACACAGGGUCUAAUUAAAUCCUGCUCCUGCCUCCCAGCCUCCACUGAACACAGGCUGCAGGAGCAGCAUCACUCAGCAGUGCAGGGGGAGAGGCAGGUGACUCCAUCAAAUGAGCAAGGAUGCAGCCUGGGUCCCCAGCUUGGAGUUCCACACACAGGUGGAACCGUCACAAUUUGAGGACACUGUCCCAACAGUCGAUGCAUUUGUCCUAUCUCCGAAGAUGUGAGUGGCAAGCCCACACUCAAAAUUGACAUGUACUGAUGACCCCUUGUCAGAGUUGUUGGAGACUGUGAAUCCAACUGGUUUUUGGAAAUCAGCCGAGCAGGCCGUAUGAAAGUCUUUUUCAUAAGUCUCGGGUUGGAAUGCAGCAAGCUGUGAGGCACAUCAGAUGGACAGGUGAGGACUGAGCACUGGAGGUCGGUUACCGUAAACGGACACCUGGGAGUCUCCGGAAGCGAGGAACUGCAGGGCUAGACGACACUGGGUCUCAAUGAAGGAAGCCAGGGUUCAGCAGUUUUAGUAGCAUGAAGCGGAACUGUGAGACUGGUUGCGAAUCUUGCGUCACUGAAGAUAUUCAGAGAGAAACUGGAUGCUGUAAACAACGCAGUGGAGCACAGAGAAACGAAUGCACACAUUACUGUGUGUAAGACGUUGCACUGGCAAUCUCUUACCCAGAAAUCCUCUGCUUUAUACCUGGAGGCUGGAUCUCAUUGGUCCUGCUGGAACUUGCUGGUUAUUGGUUCUUACAGGUCAGCUGACCCAUCCAAGAUGGCUGCGUCAUUCCCAGACCUACGCAGCUGGAGCCUGUACCAUGGAACACCUCUGCCUCUGCUACCUGCUUCUCCAGCUGUGCCUACAGCCUGCGCCCGCCGCCAGCAGCCUGCGUUCCCUCCCCGUCCUUGAGGGACCCCACCAGAGCGUCCGGACACGUGAGUGCCGGCACUCCCGCAGUUUGUCCUGCUGAGCCAUGAUGCCCAUCGUUCUCAGUAUGGUCAAGAUAAUUGGAGAAAUAUUUGACCAUGGAUAUAUGGAUAUAUCCAGCUGUAAUGUGUUUUUUUAAUAUAAAAAUAGUUAUAAAAUACAGAGAGCCCCUGUAACCCAUUGUACAGCAUUUCUGACUCGGAGUGGCAUAAUAGGUUAAAAGGGUUUUUUAAAUAUUCUGCAGCUGUGUGUCAAAUAAAGAGCUGACAUCCACCCGAGAGUGGAAGAUGUUGACACAUGGAGGGACACACACUGCAUGAUAAUAAUUAAUGUGCACACACACGCUGUAGCAUAAUCUGAAUCCUCCUCCAGGCGCUACACCUGGCAGACGGCUGCAAAAUGUGCCCAAGAGGCUGCUGUACUAUGGCAAAGCUGGAGAAAUGGCUCAUAAUGCAUCACUCUUUCUACAAUAUAUGCCUUUGUUCAUAGACCACCUGGUUUUUCUAACUUCCCUAUUAACUUAACAGUAGUGGCUAGAUCAGAGGUUCUCAAACUCGGUCCUCGGGGGCCCACACAGUGCAUGUUUUGCAGGUCUCCUCACAGAAUCGCAAGUGAAAUAAUUUGCUCCACCUGUGGACCUUUUAAAAUGUGUCAGUGAGUAAUUAAUACACCUGUGCACCUGCUGGGUUACCUGCAAACAGUGGCGGAUCCAGGGGGGGGGGCACUCGGGCCCGUGCCCCCCCUGUCAUUUGUGGCUUCCCCCCCCAUCCCCCGUCCCCC